AUUGAACGCUGGCGGCAGGCCUAACACAUGCAAGUCGAGCGGAUGAAGGGAGCUUGCUCCUGGAUUCAGCGGCGGACGGGUGAGUAAUGCCUAGGAAUCUGCCUGGUAGUGGGGGAUAACGUCCGGAAACGGGCGCUAAUACCGCAUACGUCCUGAGGGAGAAAGUGGGGGAUCUUCGGACCUCACGCUAUCAGAUGAGCCUAGGUGGGAUUAGCUAGUUGGUGGGGUAAAGGCCUACCAAGGAGACGAUCCGUAACUGGUCUGAGAGGAUGAUCAGUCACACUGGAACUGGGACACGGUCCAGACUCCUACGGGAGGCACCAGUGGGGAAUAUUGGACAAUGGGCGAAAGCCUGGUCCAGCCAUGCCGCGUGUGUGAAGAAGGUCUUCGGAUUGUAAAGCACUUUAAGUUGGGAGGAAGGGCAGUAAGUUAAUACCUUGCUGUUUUGACGUUACCAACAGAAUAAGCACCGGCUAACUUCGUG
rnacentral:rRNA from 1 species